UACGAAGGGGGCUAGCGUUGCUCGGAAUUACUGGGCGUAAAGGGCGCGUAGGCGGAUAGCUUAGUCAGGGGUGAAAUCCUGGAGCUCAACUCCAGAACUGCCUUUGAUACUGGGAAUCUCGAGUCCGGGAGAGGUGAGUGGAACUGCGAGUGUAGAGGUGAAAUUCGUAGAUAUUCGCAAGAACACCAGUGGCGAAGGCGGCUCACUGGCCCGGUACUGACGCUGAGGUGCGAAAGCGUGGGGAGCAAACAGG
rnacentral:rRNA from 1 species